rnacentral:rRNA from 1 species
UACGAAGGGGGCUAGCGUUGCUCGGAAUUACUGGGCGUAAAGGGCGCGUAGGCGGAUAUUUAAGUUAGAGGUGAAAGCCCAGGGCUCAACCCUGGAAUAGCCUUUAAUACUGGGUAUCUUGAGUUCGGGAGAGGUGAGUGGAACUCCGAGUGUAGAGGUGAAAUUCGUAGAUAUUCGGAAGAACACCAGUGGCGAAGGCGACUCACUGGCCCGAUACUGACGCUGAGGCGCGAAAGCGUGGGGAGCAAACAGG